UUCGUACGAAGAAGCAAAGAGUGGGGAGAGAGCCACUUGCCGCAUCCACAGCCAAGGUGGCCACCACGGAGGAAAGCCAGCUUGCGAAGAAAGGCCACAUGCAGCGUGCAGCCAGAAGGCAGGAAGAUUCCUGACUUCAUCUGAGCAGCUGCAACCAGACAAGGUGGAAGUUCCACGAGCACAGAGAAACCAUUCCUCAAAGACCCUUGAGUUUCUAUCGCUUUCUGUCAAAGGCCAAGAGCAGAUAAGGCGUCGGAGACCCUCCUGACACCAACACAGCUCCUGAGCGCAGAGUACUUCAGGCUCCCCAACGCGAGAUGCAUCUUUGUUUUUGAUUUUUUUUUCUUUGCAGAAGUGACAGGCUUGGCAUAGUAUUAGUUUGUUUUCUGUUGCUAUAGCAAAGUGCAUAAACACUUCUAAAUAUGAGUUUUAUUUAGCUCACGUGUAGGAGGCUUAAAAUAUAAGAUCAGCCAGCUCCAUCUGCCCAUCCUCUACUCAAGGCUCCCUCGAUCCUGUCACAACAUGGCAGGGACUCAGAAAGAAAUACCCACAUGCAGAAGAGAUGGCCUCUCUUCAUAAAAAUGCACUCUGAAGAGCAGUGACCACCCCCAACCAGGAGACAACAGUAAUCUGUUCAGAGGUAGUGUCCACAAUGAUCUGAUUUCCUCACAAUGGGCCUUAUCUCUUUCUUAAAGCUCCCUCCACUUCAGCACUGCCACUCAGAGAAACGAGUCUCCAGUAUAUGAACCUUGGGGCCCACAAGUGAGAAAGCCAAGCAAAAGCAGGCCGCAGCUCUGUGGAGGAUGGGGGUCACCUUCCUAACACCUGUGAAGAGAAACUUAGUUUCAUGCUCAAGAAUCAAUGCUGUGGGGGCUGGGAAGAUGGCGAAGUGUCUGCUUGCCUUCAGAGCAGGAGAACCUUAGUUCAAUCUCCAAAAUCCAUAAAAGAAAAAGAAAAAGGAAAAAGUUGGGUAUAGAGAAUCUGUCCUAUGCUGAAAGAAAGGAGAAGUUUACUGAGGACACAUUUAGGAUCACAUCUAGGAAGAAGGGGACAAUUGUGAAGAGGUCUUCCCACUGGCUGCACUGGCCCUAGGCUGCGACUCUGCAACUCUGAAGCCUUCUGGAUUUCGUUACCUGUUAGGCAGAUAGUGACCAACUCCAGGUCAUCUCCAGGCAGAUGCUGAAUACAUAACAGUAUGUGUACUACUGUUGUUCCGGGGAACACCAUGUUAGCCGAUACUGGUGCUAUUCAGACUCUUCGAGCUACAGCUGAUGUUUGGCUUGGGAUCUCCGCAUCUGUUUUCAACCGCUGUUGGAUGAAGCCCCUCAGAAGACAGUUUUGCUAGGCUCCUGAAGAUUUAAAGCCUUCGCUGCUCUGUAGCCAAAAGGUGGAUGCUGCAAUGCGUCAUGGGAAGAUGGCUUAUGGUUCAGAUGAAUUCACCAUAAUCCUGCAGAAACCUUACUCUUUAAUCCUCUAAUGACAAUGUCGCUAAACAGAAGCCACUGCUGCCAUCAUUAAUACAUCCACACAUGACCAAGCUAAGAAAUUCCAUUUGGAAACUUUGCAUCAGAAAAUGUCAGUUCCACUGAAUUUGAAGGAAUUUCUGAUAAGAUUUCCUUGCAAAGGGACCAUCUCUUAAUGGGAUUAGAGGGUCACAGUGGUCCCCCGAGACAGUGUGUUGGAAAACCAUUUUGGAAGAAAACACAACUGGGAGAGAAUGGUAAACAUGGCUGCUAAGAGACAACUUCCGACAUUGCCAUCGAUGCAGGGUGGCUCUAUUUCUGCCUUGACUGCCGAGGGAGUGGGCUGGUAUUUUGAGCACCCUGAUGAAGAAUUAGAGAGAAGUGUUAUUGGAGUGCACAAUGUUGACUUUGUCAUGUGCCCAGGCAUAGGGCAAUCAGACCACAGGGGAAUGGGGAGAGUGAUGGCUACACCCCACUUGCUGUGAGCAUCGACACUCCUAUUGACUCCUGUUGACAUGGUGGGGCUGCAGAGUCAAGUACCCUAACAAGAACAUGUGCUCCAAGCAACUACAUUUGCAAAGACUCAGAACUCUGGCUCAGGCUGGCUCAGGACCUAUGAGAAACAUGGGCCUCUGAAGAGGUGGAGAGACAGUUGGAUUAGAAAUAGCUCAGAUAUUGCCCAGACAGGUGGGCACUCUUGAGACUGCAAGGGAAAAAAAGAAAUAAAUAGCUCAGAUACAUGAAGCCAAAACAUUCCUGCUAAGUAGAAUUACUACAGCUAGGGUAGGAGCUGUGACCUUCCCAAGAGGUCACGAGAAUAUCCUGAAUUCUUUUCCUGGCCUUAAUUGUGUUGUCUUUGUUCAUUUUGAAGUCUCUGUUUAAACAGAGAUAUAAGUAGUGUCACGCAAUAAUAAAUUUCUUCAGCAGGCAGUCUUCUGUCUCUGUGGAUUUUGCAUCUGAAGAUUCAAAUAAUAAAUCAAAUAUAUAUUUUUUUAUCUUUAGUAACUUGAGUAUUUCUUAUUUACAUUUUGGUUGUUAUUCCCCUUCCCAGU